ACAAGUCAGAUAAACAGAAAUCAGUCUGGUGGGAUGAUACACGGACCACUACUACUUUGUUACAAGCCACAGUUCAGCAUAGAAAGAUUUACUUGGGUAAAAGGACAUAAGCAAUAUCAGCUAAAUGUACUUAGUGUCAAGAGUACACAGUGCAGUAAAAUGUCCCCUGUGAGUGUUGAUUAGAUCACUAUUACUGAUGCGUCCCUGAUGGGUGGAGCCUGUGACAGUGCAGUGGCGAUGCAGCGAUGGCAACCUGACAUCAGACGGACUGAUGGAGGAGAAUCAGCAGCAUCUUCUCUCUGUGUUUCCUCUACAGAUGAAGCUCCACAGUCUCUGGGACUGGAUGUGAACUCAGCAGCUGAGCAUCUUCCCAGGAACAUUGUCAGUGCUGCUGUUGUACUGACCGAAUGCAGCUCUGCUAUGAGUCUGUGUGAGGACAGAGAGGAGGGAGGCCAUCCCUCUGAAAGCCCUCUGUGUGGGGACCAUGAGAGCCAGAGCACAGCUCCCAGGAGGCGGCAGCAGAGACCAGACUGUACUGAACCCAGCUGUAUGUACAUGACAAGAGUUCAGCAGCAGAACUCAGAGGUUCACAGUGAUCAGUCUGCACAGCAGCAUCAGCCAGACCUGGACUCCAUAUUUAUGCUGCUGGAGGAGACCAUGGUCACGUUUGUGAAGAAUGAGCUGAAGAAGAUCCAGAAGGUCCUGAGACCAGAUUACCCAGAAUGCUUAGAGAGUCUGUGGGAGGAUGAGGAGGAGUUGGGCAGUGAGGAUGAAGAGCGGAGGAGGAGCAGCAGAGAGUCAUUUCUGAGAUCACAGUGAACUUCCUGAGGAGGAGGAAGCAGGAGGAGCUGGCUGAGCGUCUGCAGAGCAGUAAGAGGGUUUGAACAGGUUGUUGCAGAAGGAGGAGGUGGCGGGAGCGCCGAGGACCCCACAUCUCUGACUCGGAGGGUGGGAGGCGAAGGGCCCUCAGCUCGUGAUGCAUCGCACACCCCGCAGAAGGAGGAGGACGCGGGAGUGCCGAGGAUCCGACGUCUCUGACCCGGAGGGUGGGAGGUGCCGGGUUCUUGGUUCACGACACAUCGCACACCGCGUAUCAAGAGGAGGAGGAGGCGGUAACGCCGAACUCCGGGGCUGCACCCUCCAUUGUGCGCCUCCCCCGUGUGUGUGAGGGAGCCAGAGCUGCUCCUGGGGGCGCAUCCUCCAUUGGGUGGCGCAAGGUUCCGGGCCGUGCAUUUUAUUUGACAUUAGAUUUGGUUAGACCGAGUGGAGGAGUGCAGAAACAACAAAUAACAUGAGAAGAUGACCAAGCAUAGGACAAAGGAAUUAAGAAAAAGUGAGGAGAGAGGAAGUGGUGGAGGGCAGGAUGAAGUGUGACACCUCUCAUGUGCAUGGAGUACAUAUGAGAGGAAACCAAAAUAAGUAAUGAAUAGAUGAGCAAACCAAAAGGAAAUGAGGAGGUGGUAGGCUAGUGAGCUGUGCACAGAGCGUGGCUCAGACCGUCAGGGAUAUAUCCCUGACUCCAGAGCACAACGAGUCACGGAUACCUGCCAACUGUUUGUUUGUUGUUGUUUUGUUUUUACUUGUGUUUCUGUCAGGUCUGCUUGGCUUUCUCUUUUC